rnacentral:rRNA from 1 species
AUUGAACGCUGGCGGCAGGCCUAACACAUGCAAGUCGGGCGAGCGGCAGACGGGUGAGUAAUGUAUGGGGAUCUGCCUGAUGGCGGGGGAUAACUACUGGAAACGGUAGCUAAUACCGCAUAACAUCAGAUGAACCCAUAUGGGAUUAGCUAGUAGGUAAGGUAACGGCUUACCUAGGCGACGAUCCCUAGCUGGUCUGAGAGGGUGAUCGGCCACACUGGGACUGAGACACGGCCCAGACUCCUACGGGAGGCAGCAGUGGGGAAUAUUGGGCAAUGGGCGCAAGCCUGAUGCAGCCAUGCCGCGUGAGUGAAGAAGGCUUUCGGGUUGUAAAGUACUUUUAGUCGGGAGGCGGUAUCGAAAGAGGAAGCACCGGCUAACUCCGUGCCAGCAGCCGCGGUAAUUC